rnacentral:rRNA from 1 species
UUAAGCGACUAAGCGUACACGGUGGAUGCCCUGGCAGUCAGAGGCGAUGAAGGACGUGCUAAUCUGCGAUAAGCGUCGGUAAGGUGAUAUGAACCGUUAUAACCGGCGAUUUCCGAAUGGGGAAACCCAGUGUGAUUCGUCACACUAUCAUUAACUGAAUCCAUAGGUUAAUGAGGCGAACCGGGGGAACUGAAACAUCUAAGUACCCCGAGGAAAAGAAAUCAACCGAGAUUCCCCCAGUAGCGGCGAGCGAACGGGGAGCAGCCCAGAGCCUGAAUCAGUGUGUGUGUUAGUGGAAGCGUCUGGAAAGGCGCGCGAUACAGGGUGACAGCCCCGUACACAAAAAUGCACAUACUGUGAGCUCGAUGAGUAGGGCGGGACACGUGGUAUCCUGUCUGAAUAUGGGGGGACCAUCCUCCAAGGCUAAAUACUCCUGACUGACCGAUAGUGAACCAGUACCGUGAGGGAAAGGCGAAAAGAACCCCGGCGAGGGGAGUGAAAAAGAACCUGAAACCGUGUACGUACAAGCAGUGGGAGCACAGAGCAAUCUGUGUGACUGCGUACCUUUUGUAUAAUGGGUCAGCGACUUAUAUUCUGUAGCAAGGUUAACCGAAUAGGGGAGCCGAAGGGAAACCGAGUCUUAACUGGGCGUUAAGUUGCAGGGUAUAGACCCGAAACCCGGUGAUCUAGCCAUGGGCAGGUUGAAGGUUGGGUAACACUAACUGGAGGACCGAACCGACUAAUGUUGAAAAAUUAGCGGAUGACUUGUGGCUGGGGGUGAAAGGCCAAUCAAACCGGGAGAUAGCUGGUUCUCCCCGAAAGCUAUUUAGGUAGCGCCUCGUGAAUUCAUCUCCGGGGGUAGAGCACUGUUUCGGCAAGGGGGUCAUCCCGACUUACCAACCCGAUGCAAACUGCGAAUACCGGAGAAUGUUAUCACGGGAGACACACGGCGGGUGCUAACGUCCGUCGUGAAGAGGGAAACAACCCAGACCGCCAGCUAAGGUCCCAAAGUCAUGGUUAAGUGGGAAACGAUGUGGGAAGGCCCAGACAGCCAGGAUGUUGGCUUAGAAGCAGCCAUCAUUUAAAGAAAGCGUAAUAGCUCACUGGUCGAGUCGGCCUGCGCGGAAGAUGUAACGGGGCUAAACCAUGCACCGAAGCUGCGGCAGCGACGCUUAUGCGUUGUUGGGUAGGGGAGCGUUCUGUAAGCCUGCGAAGGUGUGCUGUGAGGCAUGCUGGAGGUAUCAGAAGUGCGAAUGCUGACAUAAGUAACGAUAAAGCGGGUGAAAAGCCCGCUCGCCGGAAGACCAAGGGUUCCUGUCCAACGUUAAUCGGGGCAGGGUGAGUCGACCCCUAAGGCGAGGCCGAAAGGCGUAGUCGAUGGGAAACAGGUUAAUAUUCCUGUACUUGGUGUUACUGCGAAGGGGGGACGGAGAAGGCUAUGUUGGCCGGGCGACGGUUGUCCCGGUUUAAGCGUGUAGGCUGGUUUUCCAGGCAAAUCCGGAAAAUCAAGGCUGAGGCGUGAUGACGAGGCACUACGGUGCUGAAGCAACAAAUGCCCUGCUUCCAGGAAAAGCCUCUAAGCAUCAGGUAACAUCAAAUCGUACCCCAAACCGACACAGGUGGUCAGGUAGAGAAUACCAAGGCGCUUGAGAGAACUCGGGUGAAGGAACUAGGCAAAAUGGUGCCGUAACUUCGGGAGAAGGCACGCUGAUAUGUAGGUGAAGCGACUUGCUCGUGGAGCUGAAAUCAGUCGAAGAUACCAGCUGGCUGCAACUGUUUAUUAAAAACACAGCACUGUGCAAACACGAAAGUGGACGUAUACGGUGUGACGCCUGCCCGGUGCCGGAAGGUUAAUUGAUGGGGUUAGCGCAAGCGAAGCUCUUGAUCGAAGCCCCGGUAAACGGCGGCCGUAACUAUAACGGUCCUAAGGUAGCGAAAUUCCUUGUCGGGUAAGUUCCGACCUGCACGAAUGGCGUAAUGAUGGCCAGGCUGUCUCCACCCGAGACUCAGUGAAAUUGAACUCGCUGUGAAGAUGCAGUGUACCCGCGGCAAGACGGAAAGACCCCGUGAACCUUUACUAUAGCUUGACACUGAACAUUGAGCCUUGAUGUGUAGGAUAGGUGGGAGGCUUUGAAGUGUGGACGCCAGUCUGCAUGGAGCCGACCUUGAAAUACCACCCUUUAAUGUUUGAUGUUCUAACGUUGACCCGUGAUCCGGGUUGCGGACAGUGUCUGGUGGGUAGUUUGACUGGGGCGGUCUCCUCCUAAAGAGUAACGGAGGAGCACGAAGGUUGGCUAAUCCUGGUCGGACAUCAGGAGGUUAGUGCAAUGGCAUAAGCCAGCUUGACUGCGAGCGUGACGGCGCGAGCAGGUGCGAAAGCAGGUCAUAGUGAUCCGGUGGUUCUGAAUGGAAGGGCCAUCGCUCAACGGAUAAAAGGUACUCCGGGGAUAACAGGCUGAUACCGCCCAAGAGUUCAUAUCGACGGCGGUGUUUGGCACCUCGAUGUCGGCUCAUCACAUCCUGGGGCUGAAGUAGGUCCCAAGGGUAUGGCUGUUCGCCAUUUAAAGUGGUACGCGAGCUGGGUUUAGAACGUCGUGAGACAGUUCGGUCCCUAUCUGCCGUGGGCGCUGGAGAAUUGAGGGGGGCUGCUCCUAGUACGAGAGGACCGGAGUGGACGCAUCACUGGUGUUCGGGUUGUCAUGCCAAUGGCACUGCCCGGUAGCUAAAUGCGGAAGAGAUAAGUGCUGAAAGCAUCUAAGCACGAAACUUGCCCCGAGAUGAGUUCUCCCUGACUCCUUGAGAGUCCUGAAGGAACGUUGAAGACGACGACGUUGAUAGGCCGGGUGUGUAAGCGCAGCGAUGCGUUGAGCUAACCGGUACUAAUGAACCGUGAGGCUUAACCUU